AAAGAAAGAAAGAAAGAAAGAAAGAAAGAAAGAAAGAAAGAAAGAAAAAACCUUCUACCAUUGAGGCACAGAAAUAUGUCCUCCUAAACCCAAGGAGUUUCAUACCUCAGUGAGUCUGACGCUAAUCGUCAGCUGCUGCCCGAGGUCCCUAGUGAUUACCAGCCUCCCGUCCACAAUGGUUUUCUUCCACAUUCCAAGACAGGCCAGUUCUUUGUCUUUGCACUCGUUCUUGAAAAUCUUUGCUUUGACUUGCAGUAAUCUAUUAACUUCAGGAGUGCUCCCGACCACUUGUUUAAACUGGAUGAUAGAAUAAAAAAUACAGGAAGAGUAAUUUUGAAAUAUCAACAAAUACACCUAACUAAUGUGCCAUGACAAUAGGCAAUUGGAUGAAAUCUUUUUAAGUGGCCUCUUUGUCUUCUAAGUCAUGAAACCUCAUCUAACAAUCACAUUAGUUAGCUGGGAGCUUCCUUCAAGCUACUCUGUAAGAAUAAGGAAAAUAAAAUCAGAAAAUACAAUUAAAGUAUAUAGAGGGCACAUUGCCUGUGUCCCGUUAUUUCCAAGGGGAAAAGA